rnacentral:tRNA from 1 species
GGAGGGGUCGCAUAGUUGGUCUAGUGCGGUCGUCUCGAAAAUGACUAGGUGUAAAAAGCCUCGUGGGUUCGAAUCCCACCCCCUCCGCCA